AGUUGCACAGCUGCCUGGUAGGUGACUGGAGGCAUUGAGCAGUGUGCUCACUGGUAUUUCGCUGAUGUGGCCCCAACCCCGCCUCCCUCCCCACCCCGCGAUGUCAGAAAAAACACAACAGGGGAAAUUGGCCGCAGCCAAGAAAAAGUUAAAAGCAUAUUGGCAGAGGAAGAGCCCUGGCAUUCCAGCAGGAGCUAACAGGAAAAAGAAAAUCAAUGGCAGUAGCCCUGACACAGCCACUUCUGGUGGUUACCACUCACCUGGGGAUUCAGCAACAGGUAUCUACGGGGAAGGCCGUGCAUCCUCUACUACCCUGGAGGAUCUGGAGAGCCAGUACCAAGAACUAGCAGUGGCCCUGGAUUCAAGCUCCGCAAUAAUCAGUCAACUCACUGAAAACAUCAAUUCACUGGUUCGCACAUCUAAGGAGGAGAAGAAGCAUGAGAUACAUCUGGUACAGAAGCUUGGGAGGAGCUUGUUCAAACUCAAAAACCAGACGGCUGAACCCCUGGCCCCAGAGCCCCCAGCAGGGCCAUCUAAGGUAGAGCAGCUACAAGAUGAGACCAACCACCUAAGGAAGGAGCUAGAG
ensembl:lncRNA novel transcript